rnacentral:lncRNA from 1 species
UGUAAUCCCAGCUACUUGGGAGGCUGAGGCAGGAGAAUCGCUUAAACCUGGAAGGCCGAGGUUGCAGGGAGUUGAGAUUGCGCCACUGCACCCCAGCCUGGGUGACAGAGCAAGACUCUGUCUAAAAAAAAAUAAAUAAAUAAAAACAGAAUUGGGUAUCUGUUUAUUGGGUAUCUGUUUAAAUAGGAAUAUUAGAACCCCCACCUACCUCAUAUCAUACAUAGAAAUAAAUUCCAGAAGGAUGAAAGAUUCUAAAUAUUUCUUACAAAACCAUACAGAUAUGUGGCGAACACCGAAGAACUGUUAAGAUGUCUCUUUGAUGAAGGACUUACUGCCCCAGCUGCUGAGAAUGCUGUUAGUAGAUGGUCUUCAGAAGAUUCCGGCCCCUUCAGUGAUUGCCUCAGCUGCAGAAAGCUGCCUCUCCCAAGGUCACACCCCUUCCCAUGGGAGCAGUCCACAUCCAAUGACUGAUCACAUGCAGGAAUAUAUAGGCAUGGCCAUCUCAGUUCAAUUAAAGAGCUGCCCAUGAGGUGUUGAUGCCAAGAACGCUAAUAAAAAUCCAGAGGGCUAAAGUUUGUCUCAGAUUCUGCAUACGGAGGAACUCAAGCUGUGACAACAUGUUAGAAUAAAAUGUAAAAGAAUACCUAUCUUUUUAAAAAAUUUAAUUUAAUUUAAUUUUAAGUUCUGGGAUACAUGUGCAGGAUGUGUAGGUUUGUUGCAUAGGUAAACAUGUACCAUGGUGAUUUGCUGCACCUAUCAACCCAUCACCUAGGUAUUAAGACCCACGUACAUUAACUAUUUAUCCUGGUGCUCUUCCUCCCCCCGUACCCCCUGACAGGCCCCAGUGUAUGUUGUUCCCCUCCCUGUGUCCAUGUGUUCUCAUUGUUCAGCUCCCACUUAUAAGAAGUGAGAACAUGCAGUGUUUGGUUUUCUGUUCCUGUGUUCAUUUGCUGAGGAUCAUGGCUUCCAGCUCCAUCCAUGUCCCUGCAAAGGACAUAAUCUCAUUCAUUUUUAUGGCUGCAUAGUAUUCCAUGGUGUAUAUGCACCACAUUUUCUUUAUUCUGUCUAUCACUGAUGGACAUUUGGAUUGAUUCCAUGUCUUUGCUAUUGUGAAUAGUGCUGCAGUGAAUAUAUGUGUGCAUGUAUCUUUAUAUUAGAAUGAUAUAUAUUCCUUUGGGUAUACACCCAGUAAUGGAAUUGCUGGGCCAAAUGGUAUUUCUGGUUCUAGAUCUCUAGAUCUAGAGGAAUCAUCACACUGUCUUCCACAAUGGUUGAACAAAUUUACAUUCCCACCAACAGUGUAAAAGUGUUCCUAUUUCUCCACAGCCUCACCAGCAUCUGUUGUUUCUUGACUUUUUAAUAAUUACCAUUCUGACUGGCGUGAGGUGGUGUCUUAUUGUGGUUUUGGUGUGCAUUUCUAAUGAUCAGUGAUGUUGAGCUUUUUUUCUUGUGUUUGUUGACCACAUACUUGUCUUCUUUUGAGAAGUGUCUUUUCAUGUCCUUUUUCCACUUUUUGAUGGGGUUGUUUGUUUUUUUUCUUGGAAAUUUGUUUAAGUUUCUUGUAGAUUCUGGAUAUUAGACCUUUGUCUGAUGGGUAGACUGCAAAAAUUUUCUCCCACUCUGUAGGUUGUCUGCUCACUCUGAUGAUAGUUUCUUUUGCUGUGAAGAAGCUCUUUAGUUUAAUUAUAUCCCAUUUGUCAAUUUUUGCUUUUGUUGCAAUUACUUUUGAUGUUUUUGUCGUGAAAUCUUUGCCCAUGUCUAUGUUCUGAAUGGCAAAGAAUAUCUAUCUUUAAAAUAAUCUUGAGUGUGGGAAAGUGUUCUUAAACAGAAUAUAAAAGCCAAAAUCCAUAAAGAAAGAAAUGGAAAGAUCUGACAAAAUGAAAAGUAAAAGCUUCUUUCAGCAUUAUGAAAGACAUCCUAAGCAAAAUUAAAAGGCAUUUUUUGAGGAAAUAUUUUUUAACAUAAAUAAUAGACAAAGUUCAUAUCUGCAAUAUAUAAAGACCUCCUACAAAUAAAUAAGAAGCCACCGUCUGCCCAAAAAAGGAUAAUAUAUAUGAGCAAGAAAUUUUUUAAAAGAGAUGUUGUGGCCAGGCGCAGUGGCUCAUGCCUGUAAUCCUAGCACUUUGGCAGGCCAAGGUGGACAGAUUGCCUGAGCUCAGGAGUUUGAGACCAGACUGGGCAACAUGGUGAAACCCCAUCUCUACUAAAAUACAAAAAAAAAAAAAAAACAAAAAAAAAACCAACAAAAAAAACACAAAAUAAUUAGCCGGGCGUGGCGGUGUACACCUGUAGUCCCAGCUACUCAGGAGGCUGAGGCAAUUGCUUGAACCCGGGAGGCAGAGGUUGCAGUGAGCGGAGAUCGUGCCGCUGCACUCCAGCCUGGUGGCAGAGCGAGACUCCUUCUCAAAAAAAUAAAAAAAAUAAAAAAAAAAUAAAUGUUGCCAAUAAUGUAGGAAAGAUGUUCUCAGCCUUUCUUGCAAUCAAAGAGAGAAUUGUCAACAUAGAGAAUAAGCUAACUUGUAAAAUGAAAAAGGUUGAUAGUAUACACAAUUGGCAAGAGGAUGGGGGAAAUGGGUACUCAAGAUAUUUGUGGAAAUGUAAAUGUUAUUUUGAAAGGCAUUUGGGCAGUAAUUUCUCAACAUUUUAAAUGUGUAUGCUCUUUGAUCUAGCAAUUUUUCUUUUAGGAAUAUAUGCUGCAGAAAUAUUAACACAUGCACACAAAAAGGUGCAUGAGAAGGUUUAUGCAAGACUUAUUUUUAAUAGGAAGAAUUGGCUAUCUAUUUGAAUAGGAAAAUCAGAACCCCUAUCUAUCUCAUAUCAUACAUAAAAAUAAAUUCCAGAAGGAUGAAAGAUUCUAAAUAUAAGAAAACAAAACCACACAGACGUGUGGUGAACACUGAAGGAUUGCUUAGAUGUCUCUUUGGUGAAGGACUUUCUGUCCCAGUAAGUCCUUUGAAACAAGCAUCCCAAAAGAGGGGACAACUGUUUAAAAAUAUUGUGCAUUAUUAAAUGCUAUAGAUAUGCUAAAAAGAG